rnacentral:rRNA from 1 species
CAAGUUGAGGGGCAGCAGGUCACUUCGGUGAUGCUGGCGACCAGCGCACGGGUGAGUAACGCGUAUGGAACCUACCUAAAACAGGAGGAUAGCCUUCGGAAACGGGGAUUAAUACUCCAUAUUAUUUAUCAAUGGCCUCAUUGAUAGAUAAAAGCUACGGCGGUUUUAGAUGGCCAUGCGUACCAUUAGUUAGUUGGUAAGGUAACGGCUUACCAAGGCGAUGAUGGUUAGGGGUCCUGAGAGGGUAAACCCCCACACUGGUACUGAGACACGGACCAGACUUCUACGGAAGGCAGCAGUGAGGAAUAUUGGUCAAUGGGCGCAAGCCUGAACCAGCCAUGCCGCGUGCAGGAAGACGGCCCUACGGGUUGUAAACUGCUUUUCUAUGGGAAGAAUUCCUACCUAUAUAGGUGGGUUGACGGUACCACAGGAAUAAGCAUCGGCUAACUCCGUGCCAGCAGCCGCGGUAAUACGGAGGAUGCAAGCGUUAUCCGGAUUUAUUGGGUUUAAAGGGUGCGCAGGCGGUGGAACAAGUCAGUGGUGAAAGCCCGGGGCUUAACUUCGGGAUUGCCAUUGAAACUGUUUCACUUGAGUGUAGUUGAGGACGGCGGAAUGAGUUGUGUAGCGGUGAAAUGCAUAGAUAUAACUCAGAACACCAAUUGCGAAGGCAGCUGUCUAGACUACAACUGACGCUGAGGCACGAAAGCGUGGGUAGCGAACAGGAUUAGAUACCCUGGUAGUCCACGCUGUAAACGAUGAUCACUCGUUGUUGGCUACUUAGUAGUCAGUGACUAAGGGAAACCGAUAAGUGAUCCACCUGGGGAGUACGUCGGCAACGAUGAAACUCAAAGGAAUUGACGGGGGCCCGCACAAGCGGAGGAACAUGUGGUUUAAUUCGAUGAUACGCGAGGAACCUUACCUGGGCUUAAAUGCUGGCUGCAUUCACGCGAAAGCGUGAUUUCCUACGGGACCGCCAGCAAGGUGCUGCAUGGUUGUCGUCAGCUCGUGCCGUGAGGUGUCGGGUUAAGUCCCAUAACGAGCGCAACCCCUAUCGUUAGUUGCCAGCAUGUAAUGGUGGGGACUCUAACGAGACUGCCGGUGUAAACCGGAGG